rnacentral:rRNA from 1 species
AUCGAACGCUGGCGGCAGGCCUAACACAUGCAAGUCGAACGAGUGGCGGACGGGUGAGUAAUGUCUGGGAAACUGCCUGAUGGAGGGGGAUAACUACUGGAAACGGUAGCUAAUACCGGCUACCAUCAGAUUUGCCCAGAUGGGAUUAGCUUGUGGGUGGGGUAACGGCUCACCAAGGGGACAAUCCCUAGCGGGUCUGAGAGGAUGACCGCCCACACUGGAACUGAGACACGGCCCAGACUCCUACGGGAGGCGGCGGUGGGGAAUAUUGGACAAUGGGCGAAGGCCUGAUGCAGCCAUGCCGCGGGUAUGAGGAAGGCCUUCGGGUUGUAAGGUACUUUCAGCGGGGAGGCGUUACCCGCAGAGGAAGCACCGGCUAACUCCGUGCCAGCAGCCGCGGUAAUUC